rnacentral:tRNA from 1 species
UGUAUGUUGUCAUUAUUUGCCAGAAUCACGCUCAUAACCUGAAGGUCGUAGGUUCAAAUCCUACUCCCGCAACCA